UUUUCUUAUUCGAUUUUUAUUUCCUUACACAGUUUCUAUUUCCUUAUUCGAUUUCCAUUUCCUUAUUUGAUUUUCAUUUCCUUAUUCGGUUUCUUUUUCCUUUUUCAAUGUUCAUUUCCUUUUUCGGUUUCUAUUUCCUUAUUCGGUUUCUAUUUCCUUAUUCGGUUUCUAUUUCCUUAUUGGAUUUUCAUUUCCUUAUUCGAUUCCAUUCCUUAUUCAAUUUCCAUUUCUUUAUUCGGUUUCUUUUUCCUUUUUCAAUGUUCAUUUCCUUUUUUGGUUUCUAUUUCCUUAUUGGGUUUCUGUUUUCUUAUUGGGUUUCUAUUUCCUAAUUGGGUUUCUAUUUCCUUAUUGGAUUUUCGUUUCCUUAUUCGAUUUCCUUUUCCUUAUUCGAUUUCCAUUUCCUAAUUCGGUUUCUUUUUCCUUUUUCAAUAUUCAUUUCCUUUUUCGGUUUCUUUUUCCUUAUUCGGUUUCUAUUUCCUUAUUCAGUUUCCAUUUCCUU
rnacentral:lncRNA from 1 species